rnacentral:rRNA from 1 species
UACGAAGGGUGCAAGCGUUACUCGGAAUUACUGGGCGUAAAGCGUGCGUAGGUGGUUUGUUAAGUCUGAUGUGAAAGCCCUGGGCUCAACCUGGGAACUGCAUUGGAUACUGGCUUACUAGAGUGCGGUAGAGGGGUGUGGAAUUCCCGGUGUAGCAGUGAAAUGUGUAGAUAUCGUCUGGAACGCCAAAGGUGAAAACAGACUGCUGGGAGUGUGCUGACGCUGAGACACGAAAGCCAGGGGAGCAAACGGG